UACGUAGGGUGCAAGCGUUGUCCGGAAUUACUGGGCGUAAGGAGCUCGUAGGUGGUUUGUCGCGUUGUUCGUGAAAACUCACAGCUCAACUGUGGGCGUGCGGGCGAUACGGGCAGACUGGAGUACUGCAGGGGAGACUGGAAUUCCGGGUGUAGUGGUGAAAUGCGUAGAGAUCCGGAGGAACACCAGUGGCGAAGGCGACACGCUGGGCCGUACCUGACGCUAAAGCGCGACAGCAUGGGGAGCAAACGGG
rnacentral:rRNA from 1 species